UACGUAGGCGGAUCAGAAAGUAUAGGGUGAAAUCCCAGGGCUCAACCCUGGAACUGCCUUAUAAACUCCUGGUCUUGAGUUCGAGAGAGGUGAGUGGAAUUCCAAGUGUAGAGGUGAAAUUCGUAGAUAUUUGGAGGAACACCAGUGGCGAAGGCGGCUCACUGGCUCGAUACUGACGCUGAGGUACGAAAGUGUGGGGAGCAAACAGGAUUAGAUACCCUGGUAGUCC
rnacentral:rRNA from 1 species